rnacentral:rRNA from 1 species
CAUGCAAGUCGAACGGCAGCACGGACUUCGGUCUGGUGGCGAGUGGCGAACGGGUGAGUAAUGUAUCGGAACGUACCAUUCAGUGGGGGAUAACGUAGCGAAAGUUACGCUAAUACCGCAUAUUCUCUCCGGAGGAAAGCAGGGGACCGCAAGGCCUUGCGCUGAUUGAGCGGCCGAUAUCAGAUUAGCUAGUUGGUGGGGUAACGGCUCACCAAGGCGACGAUCUGUAGCGGGUCUGAGAGGAUGAUCCGCCACACUGGAACUGAGACACGGUCCAGACUCCUACGGGAGGCAGCAGUGGGGAAUUUUGGACAAUGGGCGCAAGCCUGAUCCAGCCAUGCCGCGUGAGUGAAGAAGGCCUUCGGGUUGUAAAGCUCUUUCGGCCGGGAAAAAAUCGACUGGGCUAAUACCCUGUGUGGAUGAUGGUACCGGAAUAAGAAGCACCGGCUAACUACGUGCCAGCAGCCGCGGUAAUACGUAGGGUGCGAGCGUUAAUCGGAAUUACUGGGCGUAAAGCGUGCGCAGGCGGUUAUGUAAGACAGAUGUGAAAUCCCCGGGCUCAACCUGGGAACUGCAUUUGUGACUGCAUAGCUUGAGUGCGGCAGAGGGGGAUGGAAUUCCGCGUGUAGCAGUGAAAUGCGUAGAUAUGCGGAGGAACACCGAUGGCGAAGCAGUCCCCUGGGCCUGUACUGACGCUCAUGCACGAAAGCGUGGGGAGCAAACAGGAUUAGAUACCCUGGGUAGUCCACGCCCUAAACGAUGUCAACUGGUUGUUGGAGGGGUUUCUCUUCAGUAACGAAGCUAACGCGUGAAGUUGACCGCCUGGGGAGUACGCGCAAGUUAAACUCAAAGAUUGACGGGACCGCACAGCGUGGAUGAUGUGAUUAUUCGAUGCACGCGAAACCUACCUACC